rnacentral:rRNA from 1 species
GAAGCAGCAGGCGCGCAAAUUACCCAAUCCUAGAUCGGGGAGGUAGUGACGAAAAAUAACGAUGCCGCAAUCUUCGGAUUCGGCAAUUGGAAUGAGAACAAUCAAAAUCCUUUAUCGAGGAUCGAUUGGAGGGCAAGUUCUGGUGCCAGCAGCCGCGGUAAUUCCAGCUCGAAUAGCGUAUGUUAAAUUUGCUGCGGUUAAAAAGCUCGUAGUUGGGUAUCAGGAGAUGAACUCUGCACUGUUCAUUACGAACAGUAUUGCUUGAGUAUCGCUCCUUAUGUUUAAUCAUUCCUGCAUUCGAAAGAGUGUACGGAAGGUGAACGGACUACUUUGAGAAAAUUAGCGUGCUCAAUGCAGGCGUAAGCUUGUAUAUUUAUGCAUGGAAUAAUGAGAAAGGACCUCGGUUCUGUUUCGUUGGUUUCCGGAAGCUGAGGUAAUGAUUGAUAGGGACAAACGGGGGCAUUCGUAUUGUGGUGUUAGAGGUGAAAUUCUGUGAUCACCAUAAGACGAACUACUGCGAAAGCAUUUGCCAAGAAUGUUUUCAUUAAUCAAGAACGAAAGUUAGAGUUUCGAAGACGAUUAGAUACCGUCCUAGUUCUAACUAUAAACUAUGCCAACUGGGCAUCUGGCGAUUGCAUCAUUGCAUCGGCAGGCACCCUGCGGGAAACCAAAGUUAUUGGGUUCCGGGGGGAGUAUGGUUGCAAAAUCGAAACUUAAAGGAAUUGACGGAGGGGCACACCAGAAGUGGAGCCUGCGGCUCAAUUUGACUCAACGCACGAAAACUUACUCGGUCCGAACACCGUGAGGAUUGACAGGUUGAAAGCUCUUUCUUGAUUCGGUGGGUGGUGGUGCAUGGCCGUUCUAUUGUUGGGGGGAAGAAAGACC